GAUGGGGAAGUAUGGUUGACGUACGUUUGUUUUCCAUACAAAAGGAUUUUAC
rnacentral:tRNA from 1 species